GCCUUAGGGGUGUAGUGGUCAGCAUGCUCGACGCGUAUUCGAGAGGUCCGUGGUUCGAGUCCCGGCAAGAGCA
rnacentral:tRNA from 1 species